rnacentral:lncRNA from 1 species
UAUUAUAUUAGAAUAGGGAAGUAGCAAUGAUGUAAAAGGACAGACCUAAGGUUUUACAACCAAAUAUUUAGAUAAUACAUAGAAAACCGGCUGUUUUGGAUAUGGCCAAAUUCAUAUUUCUAUCAUUAGGUGAUAAAAAGUCAUCGAGCCUUUUGCAUUUCUGAUGAGAUAAUUCAUCCACACCACUUUAUCAUUAUAUUUGGCCUUCCUUUGGAGUAAGAUUCCUUCCCUCUAGUCUUCCUUCCUCCUAAGUUCCAUAAGUCUGUGGGUUGAGAGGCAAAGGGGGGGAGGAGAGAGAGGAUGGGGGUGCUCUGGAGGAGUAAUCAGGAACUGGGAUAUCAGUUGAGAUGUCAAUGAAUGGAAUGAUUAAUAAAGGGAAAAAAGAAAAGAAAAAAAUAAAAAUAGGUUUUUUUUAAAAAAAAAGUUAAAAGAAAAAAAAUUCCAUCCCUCAAUUUCCUUUACAGUUACAGUCUCUCAUUGCUUUUUUUGUCCCCAUGCUCCACAGGCCCCGUGUCCUGAGUCUCUUCGUCCACAGUCACUGCACCUACUCAGUUUAAGGAAACAUACCUGUUGUUCUGUUUCUUUUGUCUUCCUACUACAGAAUGUCUCCAUUGGCCUAAGAACUCUUUCUCCUCAAACGUCUUUAAUCUCCUUUGCAUCUCAUUUGACAGAAAUUGAAAAGAGAACCUAUAAAUACAAAGUAUACUAUCAUUUAUCAAUUUUAUCCUCAUAUUGGCCAUUCUCCAUCCAAAGGACUUCUUAGCCUCUCUCCCUGAGUGCAUUCUCCUCAUUCAGAUGAGCAGCUGCAAACUCUAAAAGAUCCCAUGGCAGCCAUCAUUUACGAGCAGAUAGGAACUGUUUAAAUGUGUUUUAAAAAGUUACGGUCCAACAUAAACAAAAUUCCUAACUCAUAUACUAUAGAAAGUUUCCUCUAAGUAGAGAUACAGUAACUUCAGCAGGAGUGUCUUCAGAGUAUGGCGAAAUAAUCUCUGCUUUUACAAUGACCUGAUCCUUACCUGUUUGGAGGCAUCAGGAAUCCUCUCCUAACUUAACAACCCCUUUAAACCCAUGAAAAAAAAUUCCCUUAAAAAAUACCAUAUACAAAAGCAAUAGAAGUUCUUUAAUGAUAUUCAUGAAGUUGAGUUUUAGUUGAUGCUGGGAAUUCUAUAAUGUUACAAAAUGGUUCAUAAAAUAUAGCCAUCUGCUGCACCGAGUAACCGUUCAUUUUUACUAGUUUUGAAAUAGCUGUGCUUUUAUGCAUUUGGAUUUUUGCCUAAGCUUCAAGCUCCCCCUGAAAGUUCCUUCUGACCUCUGCCUGUGGAAAUAUAAAAAAAGUCUGCCUUUCCAAUCUUGUUUUAUAAGCUUCGCUGGGAGGAUAUAAAUGGACUAAAUACAUUCUGUGAAAUUUCACCAUGAAAAACCUUUCACGUACUGCCUGCAUGGCUGGCUCUAUUUACAAUAUUUCUGGUUUACACUGAAAAAACCACUUGUAAAAGAAAUUGCCUGAGGUGCCAGUGCUGAAAACAAACAUUUAGAGAGUAGCAUGUAGUUAGCAGGAAAUAAAGAUUUUUAUUAUAAGAAAGAGAAAAAAAUAAAAAGAAAGGGGUUUCAGAAAAAAUAGUGGAAUGUAAGCUUCAGAGCUUAAAAUAUCAUAAGCAAAACUAUUUUAAAUAAUAAAGGGAAGAUUGGGAAGUCCUAUAGAAUCUUAGUUUUAAAAGUGCAAAGGAGUACCUGUGUGCGCGCGCGCGCGUCGGUGUGUGUGUGUGUGUGUGUGUGUGUGUGUGUGUGUGUGUAUCCCUUUGCUUGCUACAAACCGACUAGAUGUUAAAAGCAUAAAUAUUUCUUGAAACCAGGAAAAGAGUGAAUAGCAUUGUAAAUCUGUGAAUAGAUUAAUUUUUAUUACAUUGAGGUAGAAGAAAAUAUCUUUCUAGGAAAAAAAACACAUUUAUAAAAUCAAAGGAGAAGAAGUUAAGAAGAGCUGUUUUAAGAAGAAUAAAAUGGAAAUGAGCUGAGGACUAAAACUUAUCAGUGGCCAGAAACAGAAACAACCCAUAGGCAAAGUACUCAGAAAUAUGAAAUCCUGUACACUGUGUCCAUAAUCACUCAGUACCGUUUGGACUUUUGUCCUAGUAUCUGUCUAAUUGAUUAUGCAUGCAACUUCCUUCCUUCCUUCCUCGUUCUCUUAGAUGAGUGUAUCUUUCAUUGAUUAGGUCAGAGGAUAGCAUCCUUUUGGAAAGGAUUCUUUGCAUGGUGGUGUAUCACGCAGUCAGUAUUAGUGGUGAUCUCAAGGUAAGUGAACUGCAUAAGAUGCUGGUUUUUCAUGGCCUUUCUUUUUCUUGGUUUUCUCAUAUAGACCUGCAAAGGGCGAACACUAGGAAAUCCCUGAAAUGCACUCUUCCUGUGUCAUGGGAGAAACUGCUUUAGAUACUUAUACUUGGAGCUCCUAUCAAAAUUGCCAAAUUCUGAUUAGCUUAAGAACAGCAGAGACUGAUUGACCCCACUUCUUCAGACUCGGGUUUCUCAUAUCAAACCACAAGCAGGUUACACAAAUAAUAAGCCAUUUUCUGACUCAACUCAGGGUUGUCUGUUCCAUUACGAGAAGAGGAUGGAGACCUUUAUCCUCUUUCUGCAAUGGAAGGGACAAGAGAGACCUCCUGGGUCUCUUCUGUCUCAAUCAUUCAUCAGAUCAUCUAAUCAUUUCCCAAAGAAUUCCUGAGACUAAUGUCUUAAAGAUUAGAAUUUGAGUAUUAUUAAUUUAAUGCAGACGCUGAUAUUCACAUUCAGACCACAGCAAGGGAACUAUUUCCAUCUUAUAAAAAUGCAUGUGUUCUGUUGGAACCCUCCCAAUAAAACAGAUGUGAUUAUCAGAAAGCCUGUAAAUUUUGAUUAUCCAUUGAGUGGAUACAUAUUUAAAAUGUAAAUUCUAUAGAGAUUCUACAGAGUUAUUAAAUAACUCAACUAGCCCCAACCCAAUUUAUUCUCUCCAUUAUUCCACGACUAAAUGAGUCACCUGCAGUGCUGACUAGAGGCACCCAGUCAUAAGAGGCAUAAGGGAAGAAACACAUUUCAAUUCCUGGACAGAAUUCACUUCAUGUUGUCAUAGGUUUGUAAAUUGAUGUUGGCUCUAAGGCUUUCUAAAAUGUUAACACUCAAAUCAGGUCUCAACAUUAGUAUGUAUUAGUUUAAGUAGACUGCUUUCUUCAUUCCAUAUAAAUUAUGUCACCUGCACUGAGUAAAUGGAAAUUAUAAUUGCUUAAGAAAAAAGGCAAAGCGAUAUGGAAUUAUAUGGAGAAAUUAUUUUGAAAUUGAAUUUUCUUUAGGGAGUGCAGGGCUAAGUAAAAAGAAUCAUUGUGUUGGCAUGUUAGGUCUGUAAGAAGGCACUGAGACUGUGAAUCAGAAAGAUACAGAGAUCUCUGCUCCAAUUCAAGGUGUUUAGACACGACAUUGCUAUAAUAACUCAGUGAUAGAUCUCUCUAUGUUACUAUAACUUAUCAUAAAUGGACAAGUUUACAAAUGAGGGAGGAGACCACACAUGAAAGGGAGGUGAUACUCUAGCAUCUAGGAAGGAGAUGUGAAAAAGUAGUUCCCAAGGUUGUAUGGACAAACUCCAGAAAUUCAUAGGCAUACAAGUUUUUGUAUGAUGGCCUAGUGCUGAACAGAAAACAUAUGCAUGGAUUUCAGCUAUCUGUGCUUGAAUAAAAUCCUCCAAUCGGCUGAUUCAGACAUUAGUUCAUGUUUGAGAGCAACUUUGGGAGGCUGGUGGGUAUAGCAUUAUUUUCCACAGAGGAAUGACAGAUCAGGGGCAGAAAAGUCGAAGUGUGUGAGUUAUGUCGUUACAAGAAUCUGAAGUUCUCUAAGAAAUGAUUUUUUUUUUUCUUCAACUAGGCAAAGUACCUUCCUUCAGUUUCUCCAUAGAUGCAACUGCCUAAAUGCCCAAGUAUGUAAAGUCAGGUCAAGUGGCUUUUAUAUAUAAAGCAGAGGGUGUGGUAAGACUUAUAUAUGCUGGCAUUCCUAGUAAUCUAUACAUGUGUCCAGAAUUCAAACAGCUAAACAAAUGUGUAAUAUAGCAGUUUCCCCAAUUAAAAGUGGUUGCAAGAAUGAAAUUUAUUUUUAAGAUAGGAAACAGAACAGGUAUGUUCACUAGAUGUGUUACAAGGAUAUUUAUGUAACAGCUUCAAAGUCCACAUAAGAAUUACUCAGAAUAUUUUGAAACAACCACUUUCCAUCCAGGUUCCCUGUGUAAGACCUAAUUAAGAGCCAUCAUAGAGUAACUAUUUGAAGAUAUGCCUUUAUUUCCUGUCACCUUCACAAACUCAAAUAAAUGCUUUAAGGUGUUGAAAAAAUAAAUAUUUCUAUCUUAAGAAAGCUCACAAAAUGAUUGAUAUCAUUAAUUAUUAGACUGUAACAAUGGUCCUCUGAGGCAUCUUGCUUCUAGGAAUGCUACAGUUUAUCGCAGCCACCCAGACAGCCAUCAUGAUCAUUUAUGUGGCUCAGGUACAUUAUUUUAUGCAAAUGACCAUUAGUGUCUUCUAAGUCAUCACUUCUGCAAAGAGUUUCAAUUAAGUAUUAGAAAGAAAGUUUAUCCGCUACAAUUAUACCAUAAUUGCCCAUUUUAAUGCAAUUUUCUUUUACUGAUCACAGUCCUAGAUUUUCCAAAAGGUUAGGUAACUAACUAAUUUGAUGGCACAUAUCUUAUCUCUGUAGACAUAGGUUAAAAAAUGUCACUUUGAUUGUCUCCAUAGCAAGCUUUGUCACAUGUGGACAGUUUCAGCUCACUGUCUAAUUUGCCUCAAUUUGCUACAUUGCUUCGUCAGCACAUUUAAGCCAAUCACUUAUCUCCUACCCAAGGAACUAUGAGCCCUUUGGGUUAUCUUCCUCUGCACCUGCUUUAAUCAGUGCAUUGCCUUGGGAAUUAUGACCACUUUAUCUUUUAAUAAAAGUAUUGUUAAUAUCUUCAUCUGCAAUUUUAGGCAAUUUGCAAAAGUAGGUGAGCUGGCUGGCUCUUGUCACACAAGCACAGUUACUUGGCAUGAUAUUUUCAAAAAUCACUCUGUUUCCUACAUCCUGAAAUUAAUUGUUUUCUUACAGAAUGUGCCAUAUUCAGAAUGGUAAAUGUAUUUAAGGAAAUAGAAUGUUUUCUUUUAAACCUCUGUUCUAGAUAUACCCAAUCGUCCAUCCGCACUUUCUUCUAUUUCCAAAUCUAAACUAUUGAGAGCAAUAGUAUUAUGGUUCUAUAUAGCUAAAUAAACUUAAAUUUACAGCUAACAUGCUAUGGGAUAUAAAAGUAUUUCACUAACCUCUAUAUAAUACUUUGAAGUUUGAGGGUUUUUUUUUUCUUGUUAGUAGUAACAAAGUAAUCAUUAUCAUUAAUAAGUGUUUCUUACACCUUUUUACUAUGCUUUUAUUUAUUUAAAAAAAUUUACACUCCAUAUUUUAACUCCCACUCCCCGUCUACCCUCCAACUGUUCCACAUCCCAUACCUCCUCCUCACACCAUCUCCACGUGGAUGUCCCCACCACCCACCCCACCUGACAUCUAAACUACCUGGAGCCUUCAGUCUCUUGAGGGUUAGGUGCAUCAUCUCUGAAGGAACACAGACCCAGCAGUCCUCUGCUAUAUGUGUGCAUAUAUCAGCUGGUGUAUGCUGUCUGUGUGGUGUUCCAGAGUUUGAGAGAUCUAGGGGGUCCAGAUUAAUUGAGACUGCUGGUCCUCCUACAUGGUUGCCCUUCUCCUCAGCUUCUUUCAGCCUUCCCUAAUUCAACAACAGGGGUUCUGCUUCUGUCCAUUGGUUGGGUGCAACCGUCUGCAUCUGAUUUUUUUCAGCUGCUUGUUGAGUCUUCUGUAGAGGGGAACCUGAUCUGGUAUUGGGUGAGGGAAAAUGACUGAAGCCCUGAGGACCAACAGAAAAAAAAAAUGGAAACAGGCAACCUCAGGAAAUAGGAAGUUGGGGGGACCCUCCAGAAUGCACCAGAAACCUGGGAGGUGAGAGACUGGCAGGACUCAAAGAGAGGGUCCUUGGAUGAAAUGUCCAACAGUAGGGAGAAGGAACUUAUAAAGCCCACAUCCAGCAGGAAGACAGGGCAUCAAAUGACAAAGAGGGCUACUAUCCCACAGUCACAACUCUGACCCAUAAUUGUUCCUGUCUUAAAGAAUUACAGGGAUUGAAAUGGAGAGGAGCCUGAGGAAAAGAAGAUCCAGCAACAGGCACAAAAUGGGAUCCAGCUCAAGGGAUGGUCCCAAGGUCUGACACUAUUACUGAGGUUAUGGAGAACUCACAAAAAGGAACCAAGCGUGACUACACUCUGGACACAAAAUAAGCAGCUUUUAUUUUUUAUUUGAGAAUUUCACACAACAUAUUAAGUUCAUUCUACCCUCUUAUAGACCACAUUGAUAACCAGUAUAUGUCUAAGUUGAAUAUGAAGCUACCAUUAUAAGUACUGUAUACCUCAAAAGGCCAAGGUUUGCAUUGAGUUUUUGUGUGAACUUACAUAAUUCAUUUAAAAAAGAAACUGUUUACUGGAGUUUGUACUGAGUGAUAGGACCAUUCAAUAUGGUUCCUCACUGAGCUAGUUUGCAGUAGGCCCAGGAUAAAACACUCAGUGUAAAGAUGUGCUUAUUUGUUUAAGUCAGUGACCCUUGUUGUCCUAUUGGAAGCUGAAACUGGUGAGCUUUGAAUUUCUGAAAGUGAUUGGUUGAGUUUUCUAAAGCUUUAAAUAGCAUCGUGUUUCUCAUAGCAUCUACAGCUAACAGCUACAGUGGAGAAUUUGUUUUCAUUUGUUCAAUUUGGCUAUUAUUUUGAAUGUUCAUUAUUGUAUACACCACUGACUGACUACAUAUGUGUAUAUAUAAAUAAAGAUAUAAAUAACUUUACCUCUAGUCUUUUUUGAUAGCUCAGUCAUUGUUUCCCUCAUGGUCUGCCCUCUGACAGUUCCUCAUCUCAUUCCUCUUCCCACCAACCCUGAUCCCCAAGGGGAUGGUCCUUACCUCCUCUCUGUCCUCACCCCACCAGUCUUCCCUACUCCCUGGGGAAAAUAUAUAUAUUUUUUUAAAUAUUAGACAUUUUUCACAUGUUUUCUAUCUCUGUUUCUCUAUUUCUUUUUAUCUCAGUGUGUUUGCCCCUGUGGUUGGUGUGUGUGUAUGUGUGUGUGUGUGUGUGUGUGUGUGUGUGUGUGUGUGUGAGUGUGUGUGUAUGUAACUUGUGGAAUUUCACUCUCUCCUUAUUCUAUGUGGGUCCUGGAGAAGGAACACACAAGUCACUAUACUUUCUAUUAAGUUCCUUUAUCUGCUGAGCCAUCUGGCUGGCUCAGGAAAACAUUUUUUAUCUAAUUUAGUGAAAACACUGCAAGG